rnacentral:rRNA from 1 species
GACGAAUGCUGGCGGCGUGCUUAACACAUGCAAGUCGAACGGAAAGGCCCUGCUUUUGUGGGGUGCUCGAGUGGCGAACGGGUGAGUAACACGUGAGUAACCUGCCCUUGACUUUGGGAUAACUUCAGGAAGCUGGGGCUAAUACCGGAUAGGAGCUCCUGCUGCAUGGUGGGGGUUGGAAAGUUUCGGCGGUUGGGGAUGGACUCGCGGCUUAUCAGCUUGUUGGUGGGGUAGUGGCUUACCAAGGCUUUGACGGGUAGCCGGCCUGAGAGGGUGACCGGCCACAUUGGGACUGAGAUACGGCCCAGACUCCUACGGGAGGCAGCAGUGGGGAAUAUUGCACAAUGGGCGGAAGCCUGAUGCAGCAACGCCGCGUGCGGGAUGACGGCCUUCGGGUUGUAAACCGCUUUCGCCUGUGACGAAGCGUGAGUGACGGUAAUGGGUAAAGAAGCACCGGCUAACUACGUG